rfam:Marivirga sericea strain DSM 4125 genome assembly, contig: LX91DRAFT_scaffold00003.3
GGGGUUGACCGGUAUUGACGGUAAGUGUGAAUUAUGUAUUAGCAUGCAGGGUGGAGAAUGUACAUCCUUAAGUAAUUCAUUCCAACUAUAAUUGGCGAAUCUAAUUACGCCAUGGCUGCAUAAUCUUAAUUUAUUAAGAUAAAGCUUUAAGGGUUGAGUCCCCAAAAGGAUUCCCCAGCCACAUUCCUCGUUCCUUCGUUUUUCCGGGAGCGGUCAAGGAGUGUCGAAAGGAGAAACUAGCAUGGUGAUGCUAUUAAGCCAUUGCGAAACUAAAAUAGCUAAGGCCUGCAACAGGACUGUUACUUUCCAUAACAGGCUCGAAAACCUAAUUAGUAACUAAGCAUGUAGAAGAUGCAUCGUUUCCUUAUCCGGACGAGGGUUCGAAUCCCUCCAACUCCACAA